GUGAACCUGGGAGGCCGAGCUUGCAGUGAGCCAAGAUAGUGCCAUUGCACUCUAGCCUGGGUGACAGAGCAAGACUCUGUCUCAAAAAAAUAAAAAAAAAUAAAACACAGAAGUACGUACCUCCUGAAUGAGUGACAACAGUUUUUAUUGUUUGAUGAAUGAAGGAAUGGGAAACAUCCUUAGCUUAAGGAAGUCUCUAUUAAAGAUGUAUCUCAUAGGCCUCAAAGAACCACUUUCAGUGUAUAGGAUCUCACACUUGACAACUACUAGGCACUCAUUGACAUAAAUACCCCCAUACCAAUUUUCCCAACAGUUAGUCAAUUGCGGCACUCUCUGAGGCCCCCAGAAAACUGACUCCUCAAAAUAGUAGCAAAGGUAGAUGAACUCACAGGUGCUUGGUGCUGAGGAGCAGAGGCAUCUGAUGAGGCUAAAAGUGGGCAGGAGUGAAAAAAAGGUGAGUAUGAAAGACACCUCCAGCAAACAAAACUGGCUAACGUUUUGCUUAUAGCCAUCCUUGUUAGCAUCUUCACACUUUAUACCACCCAAUGCUGAGGAGAGAUGAAUCAGUCAAGGAGGCCCCCCUCCUCCCAUAUGUACAUGUUUUUACCCAUUCAUUUCAUGAUUUAGUAAACACCAACUAUAAAACAUUCAAGUUCUAUCAUAAGCAAAUCCUACCCUCUAAAAACUAGUAUACAGUAUGGGAAAUAAAAUUACCUAUAUCAGUUCAGUAAUUUGCAUCCUUAGCCUGGAAAGACUGUCAGGGCCAAGGGAAAAGUUCUCUGUGGCCCUCCGAAGUUUCUCUGAGAAGUCAACUCACAAAUGCAAAUUAAUUGGAGAAAAGGCAUACAAAUUUAUAUAAUCUGUACACACGGGAGCCCUCAGAAUGAAGACCCAAAGAUACAGGAGAAAGUGUCCAUUUUUAUGCUGAGGUUCAAUAAAAUACGGAUAACUAUUUAGAAAUAUGAUUGCACAAAAAGAGUAUGAUCUCAUGCUAACAGACUGAGCAGGGGAUCCCAGCAGGGCCUGUCUGUCUAGAUUCUUGGCCUCUCUGAGCAUGCAUUCCCUCCUUCUUGGUGUGAGGCAACACCAUCUCUGGAAUGAGGGUCUUAUAACCCAUAGUCAAAGAAGGUAGGUCACAUAAUUUCUUUAUGAGUAGUUUUUAUAUAGAAAGGCAGAGGGAAUGUGAGUAAUGAUUUUAGGUCUUAUGACUGGCUUUGGGGAAAGGGGGUUCUGGUGUCUACGACCUGCCUUGGGGAAAAGCGAUUCUAGUUUCUAUGGCUAGCCUAAGGGGAGAAUUGGACUGAGAAACAGGAGGGCAAGAGAAGAUCAGAGAAACACUUUUGCUUCCAAGGUCUUCAUUUUGGGGUAUUUGCUGAGUCCCAACAUCAUUCCGACUAAAUCUGUUGAAGCAAGGUUGAGAAGAGCCAGCCCACUUAUCCUUAGUGCAAAAAACUCCCAAGUGCAAAAAUAUUACUUAUCACAUAGAUCACGAAAUCCUCAGAGAAAAAGUCUUCUCUGUUAUUAGUUCCAAAAGUAAGUCUAUGUCCUCUAAAUAACUGGUUUGUUUCAGCUAAUGAACACAGUAUAUUGCAUAGACGACCCUUCUCACAUAGGCUACUAGAGAGCUGAGCCAAAUUUAUGCUUUGCUGUGCUUUUUUUUACUUUACAUCUGGCUCCACUUCUAUACUCCAAUUUUUUUUCUUGAUUUAUCUUCUGUCAUUUAUAAUAAAUAUUACGUGUUUUGUUGGAACGUGUGUAACCUUAUUCUCUUCUAAAUUUUUUGGCAUGAAAAUAUCUUCCUACCUUUUGGAAUACCCGCAGAAGCUCUGAGGAUAAGGAGGCCAGAAGACUCUGAGAUAUGUCCCCAUUAUUUCCUACAAAAGGUGGUGUCUCAUCACAUUGUUCAUAUCGAUGGGUAACUGAUGUGAUCUCAUCCUUUUAGCCAAAUGUAUAGCAUUUUACAUUUUAUAGAAUCAAGAGACUAUGUGAAAAAUCUGAGACAUGAAGACAAUUUGUGGAAACUAAAUGUUCUGCAGGACUUUCUAAGCCUAGAACAGGCCCUGAUUAAAAUCUUAAACACAACAGUAAGGAGAGUUACAGACUUCCAAACCUCUUCCAUAAUGUGUCAAAACAAUUUAAGUGAUAGGGAAGAAGAUGAUACAAGGAGACUAUUUCUCAAAAUAUUAUACAUGCUCAUAGAAAAAGACAUUUGAAACAAAGAAUCUUGGACCUGAUUAAAAUUAAGAGAAUUUUAGUAAAAUUUAAGACAUGACCAGUGACAUCGGAAUUGUACUCAUUUGGAACCUUUGAUGAGAAAACAAAGGAUGAAGGAAUUUGGUGACUUGUCCAAGGCCGUGGUGUAAGUAAAUGACCUAACCAUGAUACCUGGGCUCUCAAGAGUUAAAGUGACAUCUGUAGGCAUUUAAAGCCGACUGAUCAUUGUCUUAGGUCAGAAUCUCCAGGAGCCAACCUUGAGAUAAGGAUACAUGUAAAAGUGUUAUCAAAAAGUGUUCCAAAAAAAUGGCAGAAGGGUAGUUGGCAAAUGAGACUAGGAAUGGUAAGCCAGGCUAGAGUGUGAUAUCGAGCAAAUUCCCAAGAAAUGUUCAGUCUCACAGAGAUACUCUGGCUACAGGAUGGAUCACGCCUCAGAAUGUAUCAGUGAAGAAGCAAAAAAUCUGGAACAUUCCUACCUUCUCACCUGCCAGUCAUUCGUUAAUGACUGCCCCAGGGGAGACAUAAGUUUCCUGGCUCUCUACAUGAAUGUGCAUCGCAGCUUCCACAGGCUAAGGACAGUCACCCAACAAAGGGUUGCCAGUGCAGUGCUGAGGGUUGAGGUGAAAGCACUGGGGGAGCAGAUAUGGGAAAAAGAAGAAAGAAAAAAGCAAAGGAUAUAAAGCAAUGUAAUUGGAACACUGAUAGGAUAUGGCUAUAGUGGUAAAUGUCCUUUUUAAGAUUCCUUUACAUUCUAAAAUAGUUGCAGACACAUUUGUUUUAUGUCCCUCUUUCAUUAGGUUUUUGAAGCUGCAUUAAUAAAGUGCGA
rnacentral:lncRNA from 1 species